GAACACACCAGAAGAGAGAGAGAGAGAGAGAGAGCUCUCCAGAACCCUUGCCUCUAAUCUUCAUUUCUGGCGUGAUCGCCGGCGUUCUUCAUCCUACUUCGCGUGGCCAUUUAUUCAUUAUUGCUGAACGUUGCUCUGCUGUUCAUCCGCACCAUCAACUGGAGCUCGCAAAUCCUCCAUGUUCCUCCUCUGUUCAUGUUCCAGUUCAAUGAUAAAGCUCUCCUUCAUCUUUGUUGCCGUCGUUCGUGAGCCGAUGUGGAGCUCAUUCUUUCCUCUUCCUUGUUCGAUGAUAGGACCUGUUCUCUCUCCCCCUUGUUCUGACACUAUUGUUCUGGACGUGACAACACUAUUGGGGCGGUGAAGUGGAUCGUCAAGCAUGCACCAUUCAAUUAUCUAAUGCAACUUAAGAAAGUGAAGAGUUAGGCUAAAAGACUAUAAAUCAAGCGCUCUUGGAAGGUGAAGAAAAGUCCUCGAAUUAAAAAAAAUGUAUGUUAAGGGUGUAUGGAGAGGAAUCAAGAAGUCUAGUGGAAUUAUGCAUUUUCAGGGAAGUGAUCUCACUCCAAGUCUAUUUUGCUACUUAAACUUUACUUUAGAUUUUAAAUCUGAUAUUUGAGUUGUGAAAAAAAAGUUGGAUAUGAUUUGCACUCAUUGACUAGUAUAAAUCUGAUAUGAAAUUGAUCAUUGGUUGAGUUAUGUUUUCAUUAUGCAUGUUUUGUUGGUAUGAAGUUGGUUGUGGUGUGAAUGUGAUAAACUUGUGCAUAUCUAGUGUUGAGUGUUUUGGAUUGAUCUAGAGUGUUUUUGUGCAAAGAAUUGACAACUGUAAAUUUUCAUGUAAGCUUGAUCUUGAUUCAAGAAAUUUAUUGUGAAUUUGAUUGAGUAUCAAUUUUGUUGAAUGUUUUUGAAUGGUUACUGAUGGUCAUUCAAUGAAAUUUUGGUGUGGAAGGGCAUAUUGAGUGGUGUUGGAUUGCAUUUUAGCAUUGUGGGGAUCCAUUUUGGCUAAAUUAUCGAUAUGGGAUUUGACAAAAUUUUAGUUGCAGCCAAGAAAAAUUUGGUUGCAGCAAAAGCUUUGGCCAAGAGCUCGUAGCUGUAGCCAAAGAAUAAUUUUGAAUGUUGUUGUUGAAAGAAAUUGUAACAAGUUAAUUUGUAUGAUACUAUUUUGAUCAAGGGAUUUUAUAGUUUGCUUUGAACUUUCUUAAAACCUUCUAGUUGUUUAACUUGAUUUUGAAAAAUGAUUAGGGCCAUUUUUAUAUGUGUUUGAGCUUUUCAAGCUAACCUAAGUUGAUUUUAUCUUUUUGAACCUAUAAUUUGAGCCUAAAAAAACAAUUUAAUAAAUUCUUUUGGCUAUCCAUAUGAAAUCCAAACCUUAUAAACCUGAAAAAUCAUGAAUUAUCUUGGCUUUGAGAUAAAUGGAUAUUUGUGAUAGCUGAUUAGGGUUUGAUGUGGUUGGCAAGUUACAUUAUUCUUAGUUGGGUAUGGAUUACGUGGAAGAAAAUGUGGGGCUUUUGUAAUUUAAGUUACUGUUGAAAAAAAAAAGAAAUAUAUAUACACGAAAAAAAGAAAAAGAAAAAAAAGUUGUGCAUUUUGAAUUCAAUAAAGCUUGGUGUACAAGAUCAAUUGGGUUCAAAUUUAGGGGAGGGUAUAUGUGUAGUUGAAGAAAAUUCUGUUUGUUCAAGGAGGAAGAGCUUAAAGGCAUUUAUCUUAAAGUAUUUAAUUUAUUCCUUGAUCCUAUUUUUUCAAUUACCUUUAAUCACAUUACAAGCUUAUAAAACCCCUUUGAUUUUUGAAUUUGAUGAGAUAACUUGUGGGUAGAGAGAUUGGGAGAAAUUGAGAUGUAAAAAUUUUAUUAAUUGAAAUUGUUUUAUACAAGUUGAAUUGAUGUUGUUGACUUUGGUAAUUGCAAGAUAAAUAUGUCUUGACUCUAUUCACACACGCACUUCAAAAUUGUUGAGAAGCUAGAUUUAAUUUUAUGAAUCAUGCAUUCAUUGGUGUUCUACUUUCUUCAUAUUGGGAAUACUUGCUUGGGCAAUUGAUGAGGACAAAAUCAUGAAUGCUUGGUAGAUGGAUAAUCUAUUAAAUUAGCUGUUUUAUUUGUUGUUUUACUCGAGGAUGAGUAAAAAUCUAAGUUUGGAGGUGUGAUAACCUAUAGAAAUUUAUGUCAUCUCAGUACAUUUUCUUAUAAUUUCAUAUGUUUUUUGAUGAAAUUGUGUAUACUUUGGGUACGUAUAAUAGGAAAAUGUGCAUAUCUCAUACUUGGGUUUAAAUAAGAAAAUCUUAGUGUAAAUUAUGUAUAAUUCUUAUCUUGGUAUAAUUAAUCUUGGAUUCAUAAAAUUUCUUGCCUUAGGUUGUUGAAGCAUUAUUUGAGGAGUAAAGGAGUUAUGAAAUUAUUACAUCAAGAAAAAGUCAAUACAAAGAGUGAAGAAUCAAAUGUUAGUUCAGGCAUUUUUGGCCUCAGCGGAAAGCCAGAGAUAGAAUACUAUUGACAUGUUUUGGUUGUAGUCGAAGUCUUGACCGAGAGGUUUUGGCUGCAGCCGAUGAAGAAUUGACCGCGACCAAAAGCUUUUUACUGAAGCUGUGUUUUUGAAUCAGACUUAAAGCUAGGGUUAUAUAUGCGAACUUCUUGCACUUUGAAGGAGAGUUGCAAUUGUGAGAGGUUUCUUGAGGCUUGCUCUACUAGGGUUUAGGGUUCUUGGAAGAGAUUUGAUUAAUGAUUGAAGAUUUGGAAAGAUUCAAGUAGGUUUCCUUCAUUUUUUCUUUUUUUCUUCCUUUUUCUCUUCUUGUUUCUAAUGUGGAUGCUGUAGAUUGUGACAUUUAUGGCUAUUUUCUGAAUAUGAGUGGUUAGUUUUUUUGUUUUAAGAUUAUUUCAAACCUUUGUAUGGAUUAAGAUUUGAAUAUUCCUCUCUUUUGAUAGUUUAUGACA